UACUCAUGUUGCUCAUAGUCGG
rnacentral:siRNA from 1 species